UACGGAGGGUGCGAGCGUUGUCCGGAAUCACUGGGCGUAAAGGGCGCGUAGGCGGCCUGAUAAGUAGGGGGUGAAAUCCUGCGGCUUAACCGCAGGGCUGCCUUCUAAACUGUCAGGCUAGAGCACAGUAGAGGCAGGUGGAAUUCCCGGUGUAGCGGUGGAAUGCGUAGAGAUCGGGAAGAACACCGGUGGCGAAGGCGGCCUGCUGGGCAGUGGCUGACGCUGAGGCGCGACAGCGUGGGGAGCAAACAGG
rnacentral:rRNA from 1 species